GACGAACGCUGGCGGCGUGCUUAACACAUGCAAGUCGAACGGAAAGGCCCUGCUUUUGUGGGGUGCUCGAGUGGCGAACGGGUGAGUAACACGUGAGUAACCUGCCCUUUACUUUGGGAUAACUUCAGGAAACUGGGGCUAAUACCGGAUAGGAGCUCCUGCUGCAUGGUGGGGGUUGGAAAGUUUCGGCGGUUGGGGAUGGACUCGCGGCUUAUCAGCUUGUUGGUGGGGGAGUGGCUUACCAAGGCUUUGACGGGUAGCCGGCCUGAGAGGGUGACCGGCCAAAUUGGGACUGAGAUACGGCCCAGACUCCUACGGGAGGCAGCAGUGGGGAAUAUUGCACAAUGGGCGGAAGCCUGAUGCAGCAACGCCGCGUGCGGGAUGACGGCCUUCGGGUUGUAAACCGCUUUCGCCUGUGACGAAGCGUGAGUGACGGUAAUGGGUAAAGAAGCACCGGCUAACUACGUG
rnacentral:rRNA from 1 species